GACUGGUUGCCGGAGUGGUCAAACGGGACAGACUUAAGAUCUGUUGGAGAAAUCCUUCGUGGGUUCGAACCCCACACCAGUCA
rnacentral:tRNA from 1 species